UGUAUAUGUAUAUGUAUGUGUGUGUGCAUAUAUAUCUAUAUAUUCCUGUGUGUGUACACACACAUAUAUACACAUAUAUA
rnacentral:miRNA from 1 species